UUGUUAGAGAUGUAGUUGAAAAACAACAUUAAAUUGCAAAUUUAAAAGUAUUCUUAUAUCAUCUCUU
rnacentral:tRNA from 1 species